AGACGAUGUCCCGCAGCUGCUGAGGCUGGU
rnacentral:sRNA from 1 species